rnacentral:rRNA from 1 species
UACGUAGGGGGCAAGCGUUGUCCGGAUUUAUUGGGCGUAAAGAGCGUGUAGGCGGCCAUUCAGGUCGGCUGUGAAAACUCGAGGCUCAACCUCGAGACGUCGGUUGAAACCGUUUGGCUAGAGUCCGGAAGAGGAGAGUGGAAUUCCCGGUGUAGCGGUGAAAUGCGCAGAUAUCGGGAAGAACACCCGUGGCGAAGGCGGCUCUCUGGGACGGUACUGACGCUGAGACGCGAAAGCGUGGGGAGCAAACAGG